rnacentral:rRNA from 1 species
UACGUAGGGUGCAAGCGUUAAUCGGAAUUACUGGGCGUAAAGCGUGCGCAGGCGGUUUUGUAAGUCUGAUGUGAAAUCCCCGGGCUCAACCUGGGAAUUGCAAUGGAGACUGCAAGGCUAGAAUCUGGCAGAGGGGGGUAGAAUUCCACGUGUAGCAGUGAAAUGCGUAGAGAUGUGGAGGAACACCGAUGGCGAAGGCAGCCCCCUGGGUCAAGAUUGACGCUCAUGCACGAAAGCGUGGGGAGCAAACAGG